UGGGGAAUCUUGCGCAAUGGGCGAAAGCCUGACGCAGCGACGCCGCGUGCGGGAUGAAGGACUUCGGGUUGUAAACCGCUUUCAGCAGGGACGAUCGUGACGGUACCUGCAGAAGAAGCCCCGGCCAACUACGUGCCAGCAGCCGCGGUAAUACGUAGGGGGCGAGCGUUGUCCGGAUUUAUUGGGCGUAAAGAGCUCGUAGGCGGUUUGGUAAGUCAGGUGUGAAAUCUCCACGCUCAACGUGGAGGGGCCACCUGAUACUGCCAUGACUUGAGUACGGUAGAGGAGUGUGGAAUUCCCGGUGUAGCGGUGAAAUGCGCAGAUAUCGGGAGGAACACCCGUAGCGAAGGCGGCACUCUGGGCCGAUACUGACGCUGAGGAGCGAAAGCGUGGGGAGCAAACA
rnacentral:rRNA from 1 species